GGGUUAAGGAGGAGGAUGGCGCCGUCCUGCAGAUGUGCGGGGACGCGCGCCCGCCGCAACGUGAGGCUCAUAGGCCACACGCAACUCUGAGCAUUGGCCAGGACCUGUAGUAGCCAACAGGACACUUAAUAACUGAUGUAUAGGUGCGCACUGUGUGUCCAGAGCUUUACGUUAACCACCUCACUGUGUCAUCUCGCUGAGGUUGUGUGGUUUACUAUUACUGCUAUUAGCGCAUUUUUAAGCGGGAAACCUGAGGCAUGAGGAGGCUGGAGUGCAGUGACGUGAUCUCGGCUCGCUACAACCUCCACCUCCCAGCCGCCUGCCUUGGCCUCCCAAAGUGCCGAGAUUGCAACCUCUGCCCGGCCGCCACCCCGUCUGGGAAGUGAGGAGCGUCUCUGCCUGGCCGCCCAUCGUCUGGGAUGUGAGGAGCCCCUCUGCCCGGCUGCCCAGUCUGGGAAGUGAGGAGCGCCUCUUCCCGGCCGCCAUCCCGUCUAGGAAGUGAGGAGCGUCUCUGCCUGGCUGCCCAUUGUCUGAGAUGUGGGGAUUGCCUCUGCCCCACUGCCCCGUCUGGGAUGUGAGGAGCGCCUCUGCCCGGCCGCGACCCUGUCUAGGAACUGAGGAGUGUCUCUGCCCGAUCGCCACCCAGUCUGCGAGGUGAGGAGCGUCUCUGCCCGGCCGCCCCGUCUGAGAAGUGAGGAGCCCCUCCGCCCGGCAGCCACCCCGUCUGGGAAGUGAGGAGCUCCUCCGCCCGGCAGCCGCCCCGUCUGGGAAGUGAGGAGCCCCUCCGCCCGGCAGCCGCCCCGUCCGGGAAGUGAGGAGCGUCUCCGCCCGGCAGCCACCCUGUCCGGGAGGUGGGGGGCAGCCCCCGCCUGGCCAGCCGCCCCGUCCGGGAGGGAGGUGGGGGGCGCCUCUGCCCGGCCGCCUCGUCUGGGAAGUGAGGAGCCCCUCUGCCCGGCUGCCACCCCGUCUGGGAGGUGUACCCGACAGCUCAUUGGGAACGGGCCAUGAUGAUGAUGGCGGUUUUGUUGAAUAGAAAAGGGGGAAAUGUGGGGAAAAGAGAGAGAUCAGAUUGUUACUGUGUCUGUGUAGAAAGAAGUAGACAUGGGAGACUCCAUUUUGUUCUGUACUAAGAAAAAUUCUUCUGCCUUGGGAUGCUGUUAAUCUAUAACCUUACCCCCAACCCCGUGCUCUCUGAAACAUGUGCUGUAUCCACUCAGGGUUAAAUGGAUUAAGGGCGGUGCAAGAUGUGCUUUGUUAAACAGAUGCUUGAAGGCAGCAUGGUCAUUAAGAGUCAUCACCACUCCCUAAUUUCAAGUACCCAGGGACACAAACACGGUGGAAGGCCGCAGGGUCCUCUGCCUAGGAAAACCAGAGAUGCUUGUUCACAUGUUUAUCUGCUGACCUUCCCUCCACUAUUGUCCUAUGACCCUGCCAAAUCCCCCUCUCCGAGAAACACCCAAGAAUGAUCAAUAAAUACUA
rnacentral:lncRNA from 1 species